rnacentral:rRNA from 1 species
AGAACGAACGCUGGCGGCAGGCCUAAUACAUGCAAGUCGAACGCACUCUUCGGAGUGAGUGGCAGACGGGUGAGUAACGCGUGGGAACCUUCCUUGUAGUACGGAAUAACUCCGGGAAACCGGUGCUAAUACCGUAUACGCCCUCCGGGGGAAAGAUUUAUCGCUACAAGAUGGGCCCGCGUUGGAUUAGCUAGUUGGUAGGGUAAUGGCCUACCAAGGCUACGAUCCAUAGCUGGUCUGAGAGGAUGAUCAGCCACACUGGGACUGAGACACGGCCCAGACUCCUACGGGAGGCAGCAGUAGGGAAUCUUGGACAAUGGGCGAAAGCCUGAUCCAGCCAUGCCGCGUGAGUGAAGAAGGCCUUAGGGUUGUAAAGCUCUUUUGGCGGGGACGAUAAUGACGGUACCGCAGAAUAAGCCCCGGCUAACUUCGUGCCAGCAGCCGC